CAAAAGAAUCCUCUCUGACCAGGGAAGAGAAUUUGUGAAUGAACUCAACAACGGUCUCUGUAAUAUCUUGGGCAUUGAAAGAAGUGUCACAGCUGCUUAUCAUCCCCAAACCAAUGGCCUUGAUGAGAAAACAAACGGCAACAUAAAGCGAGCUCUCACAAAAUUGGUCAAUAAGAGGCAGAACAAUUGGGAUGUCUUCUUGGAUGCUACAUUGUUUUCACUAAGAUCAAAAGUCCAAACCACGAUGAAACUCUCCCCUUUUCUUUUGAUGGGAGGCAGUUUUCCCCUCUGAGGUUCCUGUGGACAUGCCGCUUUCCAACCUUAUUAUUCCUGAGGCAAGUACUAAUGGUACUUUUUUGGAUGACAAAGGAAAGUCAAUGGAGACUGCAAAAAAAACAGCAGCAGAAAACAUCGCCACGUCUCAGGAAAAACAGAAACAGACAUAUGCGAAACGAGUGCAAAAGAAGUACCAAAAUAAAGUGUAUCAAGUUGGAGAUGAGGUGCUUCUGUUCAACAUGAGGAAGCGGGGAAGGAAGGGAGGAAGAAUGGAGCUUGGUUUUUUUGGACCAUCGGUCAAUAUGCGGUCAGCUUGUGACACUGUCCAAUUCUGAAGGGACCAUUUUAAAGAACAAAUACAAUGUAAACCACAUCAAGCCAUACAGAAGGAGCCAUUCUGAUGGCAGUCCAGUCCCCAGUCAGGAAUCAUACAAGAUCCCAGAAGAGAACAAGAGCAGUCCAAUGUCCCAUAGCCCACACGCUUUAAACCAGGCAGAGGAUUUUGAGAGGAUGGCAGAAGACAUUUCUGUGCCACAGAGACAAUCAGUUGCAUGUUAUUCAUUUCGUUUUUUUCAGUCACAUUUUAAUUACAGUCUAUGGAGAAUAGGCCAAGUUUACAUUUA